rnacentral:rRNA from 1 species
GACGAACGCUGGCGGCGUGCUUAACACAUGCAAGUCGAACGGCAGCACGGGUGCUUGCACCUGGUGGCGAGUGGCGAACGGGUGAGUAAUACAUCGGAACGUACCUUAUCGUGGGGGAUAACGCAGCGAAAGUUGCGCUAAUACCGCAUACGCCCUGAGGGGGAAAGCGGGGGACCGUAAGGCCUCGCGCGAUUAGAGCGGCCGAUGUCUGAUUAGCUUGUUGGUGAGGUAAAAGCUCACCAAGGCGAUGAUCAGUAGCUGGUCUGAGAGGACGAUCAGCCAAACUGGGACGAAGACACGGCCCAGACUCCGACGGGAGGCAGCAGUGGGGAAUUUUGGACAAUGGGGGCAACCCUGAUCCAGCAAUGCCGCGUGAGUGAAGAAGGCCUUCGGGUUGUAAAGCUCUUUUGUCAGGGAAGAAACAGCAGCUCUAACACAGUCUGCGAAUGACGGUACCUGAAGAAUAAGCACCGGCUAACUACGUGCCAGCAGCCGCCGUAA